rnacentral:lncRNA from 1 species
UCAGCUUUUCCUUGACUCUUGUGGAUACUCUAGAUACUUUAGUGUUAUUAGGAGAUUUGGAUGAAUUUGAACAUGCUGUCAGACUUAUUAUAAAGGAUAUAACAUUUGACAAUGAUGUAGUAGUUUCUGUAUUUGAAACAAAUAUAAGAAUGCUUGGGGGAUUAUUGAGUGGACAUAUAUUGGCAACUUAUUUACAAGAAGAAUUUAAUCGAAUGCAGUGGUAUCAUGGUGAAUUAUUAGUUAUUGCAGAAGAAUUAGGACAGAGAUUACUUCCAGCAUUUAAUACGUCAACUGGUAUACCUCAUCCAAGAGUAAUUAUUCAUUUUUGUUAAUUUCUUAC